GGGGAAGAGGGUCCAGGCUGCCUUGUGCUUGGGCUGCGGGGGAGGCAAGGCCCCAGGUGUCAAGAGCUUAGGUUGAUGCGCAUGCGGAGAUCAACCCACUGAUCCUGGCCUGGAGCAAUGGGCCUGCGCCUCAGCCCGCUUUAUGUGGAGGUGGUGGGCACAGAGCCGCCGGGAGAUGGGGGUGAGGGGCGGCCACCCCAUGAUGACAGUAUCAGGACCCAAAAGGCACUCAACCAAGUGAACUCGGACUGAGGUCCAAAAGACAAGUGCAGCAGGGCCAGAGACUAAGUCCCCCCGUUAGGCCAACAUUUAGGAAAUAUUGCCUAAUGUUGAGCGUCUGCUGUUCAGGGUCAGACAGAGCUCUGCUUAGCUUUCACAUCUGCCGGCUGUGUGACCUUGGAAAGGUUAUUUAACUUUUCGGAACCCCAGUUUCCUCAUAGGCAAAAUGGAGGUAGUUUUUAUUUCAUGGUGGGAUUGAAAGGAUCGAGCUGUUAUCAUUCUUGUUAUUAUUUUAUUUAAAAGACUGAACGGAUCCAGGAAGGGAAGAUUGCCUUGACAGGAAUUCACAUCAUAAAGGCCCCAAAUUAGUGUGAGGGCCUGGUAUGGAGGUGAAAUCGGUGACACUCAGAGACGAAGGCAGGGACCCCUGGAGCCCUCAUCGGUUCACCCAAAACAGCUCAGUUCCAUCUCAACAGCUCAGUGACUGGUGGGUGAAGAGUAUGAGCUUGAGUGGAUGGAGCAGAGUCUAUAUGUCGAGCACCUACUGUGUGCCAGAUGCUUCAAUACAUUGCCUUAAUCGUCACACCCUUGUGCACGAGCUAUGACAGUCUCCGUUUUGCAGGUCACGCUGCCUCCUAAGACACAGGACAGGGCCUCUCAUGGCUUUUGAGGACACGAUAGUAGCUGUGAGGGCACAGAGGGACUUCCCAUCUGGCCGAACAACAGCCACGAAAUGUGCAUAUGAGUGGAACCAGUUGUGUUUGGAGCUGGGGCUGUACAAGGAGGAGGAGGAUGAGAAGAAAGAAGAUGGAGGAGCGGACAUCCUGCCUGGCGAGAUAACACAAGAUGCUGACCACUGGCCUUGGAUUGUCUGCCCAUAAAAUGAUGGAGUUGAACCCAAGGAUCCCCAACGUAGGGUCCCAGGAAGAGAGAAGGUGACAGCAGGAUCUAAAAAGCCUUCUUAGCGUCAGAAUCAUGAAAUGUUAGUGCGAAAAGGAAUCAUCGUCUGAACCACCUUCCUUUAUGUCUUAAAGGGACCUCUCAGGAGGGUACCGUCCUUCAGAAACCGGUGAGCGUGGCUCCCCACAUCACCUCUGGCUCAGGGAACAUGGAGCUGUGGAGAGAAGGCGGACUUCAGACAGUUGUAAAGAGAUGGAUUUCAGCCGGAGUGCCUCUCUGUGCGGCCUCAUUUGUUAAGUGGGUUUAAUAAAACCUCUCUGACAGGCA